AAUAGAUACCCAGGUAGUCCACGCCCUAAACUAUGUCGACUAGUUGUUGGGGGAGUCUGUCCCUCAGUAACGUAGCUAACGCGUGAAGUCGACCGCCUGGGGAGUACGGUCGCAAGAUUAAAACUCAAAGGAAUUGACGGGGACCCGCACAAGCGGUGGAUUAUGUGGAUUAAUUCGAUGCAACGCGAAGAACCUUACCUACCCUUGACAUGCCAGGAACCUCGCAGAGAUGUGAGGGUGCCCGAAAGGGAACCUGGACACAGGUGCUGCAUGGCUGUCGUCAGCUCGUGUCGUGAGAUGUUGGGUUAAGUCCCGCAACGAGCGCAACCCUUGUCAUUAGUUGCUACGUAAGGGCACUCUAAUGAGACUGCCGGUGACAAACCGGAGGAAGGUGGGGAUGACGUCAGGUCAUCAUGGCCCUUAUGGGUAGGGCUACACACGUCAUACAAUGGCCGGUACAGAGGGUUGCCAACCCGCGAGGGGGAGCCAAUCCCAGAAAACCGGUCGUAGUCCGGAUCGCAGUCUGCAACUCGACUGCGU
rnacentral:rRNA from 1 species